rnacentral:rRNA from 1 species
GUAAUGCAUGGGGAUCUGCCUUGUGGAGGGGGAUAACUACGGAAAACUGUAGCUAAGACCGCGUAAGCAGAGUCGCAAGACUUUGGAAAUGCUGGGACCGUAAGGCCAGCAGCCAUAAUAUGAGCCCAUGUUCCAUUAUUUAGUUGGCGGGGUAACGGCCCACCAAGGCGAAAAUGGAUAGCUGGUCUGAGAGGACGAUCAGCCACACUGGGACUGAGACACGGCCCAGACUCCUACGGGAGGCAGCAGUGGGGAAUAUUGCGCAAUGGGGGCAACCCUGACGCAGCAACGCCGCGUGAGUGACGAAGGCCUUCGGGUUGUAAAGCUCUUUCGGCUGGGGAGAAGGGAAAGCAGGUUAAUAGUCUGUUUUUUUGAUGGUACCAGAAGAAGAAGCACCGGCAAACUUCGUGCCAGCAGCCGCGGUAAUACGAAGGGUGCGAGCGUUGUUCGGAAUUACUGGGCGUAAAGGGUUCGUAGGCGGGCAUGCAAGUCAAGUGUGAAAUCCCUGGGCUUAACCUGGGACGUGCAUUUGAGACUGUGUGUCUUGAGUGUUGGAGAGGGUGGUGGAAUUGCUGGUGUAGGAGUGACAUCCGUAAAGAUCACCAGGAACACCCGAUGCCAAAGGCACCACCUGGCCCACGACUGACCCUGAGUACCCAAAGCGUGGGGAGCAAACAGGAUUAAAUACCCUGGUAAUCCACGCCGCAAACCAUUAUAACU